ACAGCUUGUUGACGGCUCUGCAGAAUUUGGACUCGUGCACUCCCGCAGUUGCAAGGGGAUCAUAAAAAAGAUGUCUUCUGUAUCAUCAUGGACCAGCAGAAGGCCCUCAAUGACAGCUUCCCCUCAAAUCAGCGUUGAGGGAUUGGAGAGGAGGAAUUCCUUGGAAUUCAGAAACACUGGAAGAAUCGACUAAAAACAAAAAUUAUUACAAUAAAUGCACUGGUGAGGAGAGUGGAAGGAAUACGGUGAAAGCAAGAUUUUCUGAGUAUAUCUUCUUAUGUGGUUCUGAUUUUGAACUGAUUUGAAAUGUAAAAUUUAGUUAAAAAAUAAAAUUUAACAUA